rnacentral:rRNA from 1 species
AUUGAACGCUGGCGGAAUGCUUUACACAUGCAAGCCGAACGGCAGCACGGGAGCUUGCUCCUGGUGGCGAGUGGCGAACGGGUGAGUAAUAUAUCGGAACGUGCCCAGUCGUGGGGGAUAACUGCUCGAAAGAGCAGCUAAUACCGCAUACGACCUGAGGGUGAAAGCGGGGGAUCGCAAGACCUCGCGCGAUUGGAGCG